rnacentral:piRNA from 1 species
GAGUCUACAUGGCCACAGUCCCCACA